GUAAGCUGGGAAUUUCAUGCAUACAGACAAGUGACUUGUCCGCUGAAAUGGAUUUCGUGGUCGUCUGUCGAUGACAAAAUAAUACCGCUAUAUUGUCUAACCAAUCAAAUCACAUAUCGAUGAGACUGACGCGAGAAGGCACGAACCUAAGCGUUACAAUGAAAGCUAAUUGGAUGGUGAGGUCACAUGGUUUUAUGUAUUGCUGCUUCUAAGUUUUAGUUGAUUACAUUUGGGAUAGGCCUGAAGAGCCUACAGCAAGGCCCAUACAAGGAAAAGAAGGGAGAAAAUAAAAGGGAUGAAAGAAGCAAAUAAAGCUUGUAGCUUGAAAGAAUGAAAGAAGCAAGGCUACAAGAUUCUGGGGCGAAAAAGGGAGCCAAGCAUUCCAAAGUUGGCAAGUUACAAGAUUUGAAGUAGUUGUGAUAAAAAAUCCUCAACAUUGUGCUGAUAAACUCGAAUAAAAACAAUUCAAUGAUCAAUUCAAAAUAGAAAUAUUAUACAGUUUUUAUUUACUGAUGAAGCGACCCGGAACUUAACUCUGUUGGAAUAUAUGAGAUAAUGAAAACGUUGCAUUUACAAUAUAUGUUGUAAAAGAAAUGAGAUAUUUGAUAGAUCCUGAUUCAAUGAAUAUCU